UUAUUACUGUUAGUAAAAGUAACCUCUCUAUGUUCCACCCCACUGCUAACCUUGACUGGUCUUUUCAAUGAGCAGGUCGGCAGCUGCUGCUCAUGUUUAUCAAUCUCUAGUUAUAAUGAGAUUGUAGCGGCUUAGAUUUAAACUUCCGGUAAAUUCUGUGCUGCCCAUGUCAAUAUUCACUACCUACUGUUACUGUGAUACCUACAGAACCCAAAAGUUCAGUAUGUGGUACUGUGUUUGAGUCUGCAACAAAAAAUUAAUAAUAGUUCUAGUAUGGUGUAAGGAGCAUUGAAUUUCCAGGUGUUUAUGGUUAAUUUUGGCAGAAGUAAAUACUCCAUCAUGCUAGGUACUUGGCCCAUAAUAGUCAAUAAAGGAGACCACCUAAAAAUAGAGAUGAUAAAUCUGGCUUUGUGAUCAAAGAAGAAUCUGAGUAAUUUUUAGCUGGAAAAUUCCUCAAACUGUAAGAGUGCAAGAAUUCCUGGCAUUGUUCUACAGAAGCUGGGAAGAUUCAGGGACCACUAUUAAUGAAAACGUCCAACUGUCCCUAGAAUGAGCCACUCGGGAAAUCAUUGGGACCUAAUGAUUUUGCAGAGACAUUUAGCACGCAAAAUUUAGGAGGGACCCCACAUCUGCCUCCUAAGGACUGAAUUACCCUAAUUUUCUUGUGUCUCUAAGCCUCAGCUUUUUCUAACACCAUGCUUCUGGGGAGGGAUGCUGUGAAAACAUCAAGAAGAGGGCUGGUUCCCAGGUGUGGCACAAAUAUGCAACAUGCCAAAGCCUUCGCAGGAAAACAUCUGUAACCAGCACAGAGGAAACAUUAUGAGGCCUUGAUUCAGGAUUAGGCUCAUGCACAAUAUUUUCAAAACUAAAAGGGAAGCUGCAUGCUCACAGUACUGCUAGUAUUUAAAUUUUUUGCUGGCUUCAGUUGACACUGUUGCUAAAUGAGAUUUGAUGAAGCAAUGCUUUGCCAUAAACCAUUGAAUGGUUUUCACAUGGUCAUGAACUGUCUGUACAGCAAAUGUGGCAACUUUAAUAAGAACAUGCACUGUAAAUAAAACAGCAAAUAAAUAAAUAAAUAAUGAAUGAAUGCA